AGCGAACGCUGGCGGCGUGCUUAACACAUGCAAGUCGAACGGAAAGGCCUCUUUCGGGGGGUACUCGAGUGGCGAACGGGUGAGUAACACGUGAGUAACCUGCCCUUGACUUUGGGAUAACUUCAGGAAACUGGGGCUAAUACCGGAUAGGAGCUCCUGCUGCAUGGUGGGGGUUGGAAAGUUUCGGCGGUUGGGGAUGGACUCGCGGCUUAUCAGCUUGUUGGUGGGGUAGUGGCUUACCAAGGCUUUGACGGGUAGCCGGCCUGAGAGGGUGACCGGCCACAUUGGGACUGAGAUACGGCCCAGACUCCUACGGGAGGCAGCAGGGGGGAAUAUUGCACAAGGGGUGGAAGCCUGAUGCAGCAACGCCGUGGGCGGGAUGACGGCCUUCGGGUUGUAAACCGCUUUCGCUCAUGACGAAGCUUUGUGUGACGGUAGUGGGUAAAGAAGCACCGGCUAACUACGUG
rnacentral:rRNA from 1 species